AUGGUGAGGACCGCACGGGCAGGCAUGCCCCCCCACCCCACGGAGGCCUUCCUGGACAGCUGCUCCAUCUGUGAAGGCUCCUUCCCAGACCCCUCCAGGGCUUGCAUUUCCUUCCUGCGGGAGGGGAUGCUGAGAAGGUCCGUGUCAUCUGCCCUUGACGCCUUACUAGAGCUGCAUGCCCCGGGAAGUUCAGCAGACGAACUUCUCCUGGACCCACAGGAGCACACUGAGCCCAGGGAGGCAGAGCCCCAAGUGAGGAGGACUGGGGUAUGGUUCUGUGGGCACGUGGGAGGGCAUGGACUUUGGGCACAGAGAGAGCUUCCCGAUCUAGGAGACCCAGGAACAAGGAGACACCGCGUCCAGGGGGAGGAUGCAGUCUGGGAAGACUCCCUGGGGGUGGGUUUGUGCACAGACCUCUCUCUGACAGGCAGUGGGGAGGUUUUGCCCUGGGUAGGACCCUUGCUGAUGUGUCUUUCUCUUGCAACUGUGGGGCCAGCUUUAGCCCAACCUGAAGUCCCACCUGUAGAGUGUGUGCCAGCUCCACCUGUAGCUCCCUCAUCAGCUAUGGCACCACAGCCAGAGCCACGGCCAGGAGCCCCUUCUCCACCAGCUGCACAGCUGGGGGUCCCUACAGAUGCACAAUGGGCAUCAGCUCCUGAGCUCCAGCUGGGCCAAACUCCUGCCCCACCCCUGCCAUUCCCGUCCAUUACUGUUGGUCAUGUUUUGGCAUAUAUAUUUGCUCUUGUUUUCUGGAUUUAUGUAAACAGUAGAAUUCUUUUUCAAUAAAAGUUAAGAUUUUAGUCUUGUUUAAAGCAACCAGCUUGGUGGCAUGAAGUGCCUUCUCAGUAUUGUGCCACUGUCAUUGCUGGUGCCGGUCCUGAGCAUUUUCCUCAUUCUGCACAUGUGAGUGGUUCUUCCCCUCUCGCCUGCUGCUUCUGCCAGGCCACGACUCAGCUGACAUCCCUGGAGAUGGCCGAGUCUACAUUUUUCCCACCUCUGCAAUCAGAUUUCUCUUUGGCCACAGAAUCCCGAAAGAGACUACGAAUUAUUUUUUAUACAGUGGAAAUUCGUACAAAGAUGCUAUCUAUGUUUCUUUCUCUUGUUCAGUUAUUCUCCAGCUUUUUAGAAUAAUACAAGAAUUUGUUUACUCCAGUAAAACAAGAAAUGCCAUAGGAAUGAGUAAGGAGACACGGUCAGAGUCACCUGUGAGCAUGCACUGAGGCCUCCCCUGAGGCGCUCCUCCUGUCUGUCUUCUUCCUAGGGUUCAAGCUUGUGUGUCUUUGCUGCUGGUGGCGAGUGUGUCAGGACACAGGUCUUCUGUCAUGUCAUGGACCCACUUUGCACAUUCAGUGGCCUCCACAUGUGACACAGUUGUCUGAGCACCCUCUGCUCUGGACAGUUUACAAAUCAGUAAAGAUUUUUUCAGGACUGGGGAUGGAACCUAGUAUCUGCUCACUGAACCCGAUCACCGGCCCAUUUCAUUUUUGUUUUUAAGGAUGUUAUAAAGUCUCAGUGUUAAGUAGCUCUGUUUUCUAUCCAGGGGUUGAACGCGUGACCUUCUUGCCUCUUCCUGCCAACUUACUGGGAUCACAGAGCUAUAGCACCUCACCUGGCUUUUUUGAUCAGAUUUGAAAAACAAAGCAGAAAUCUACCUCUAGGCCUGGGUGUCCACCUUAGAGCUUGGGUGCUUUUGGGAUCCUUGUCGAGGGGUGUGGACUCCACCAGAGGGGGGAUUCUCCCUGAGAUGCCACAAACUCUGUGCUCUUGCACCAGGCGAGUGAGCAUAAUUCCAGGGCUGCCCAGCCUAGGUGGUCACCAUGGGCUCUGCACUGAGCUCCCUCACACACUGCCCUGAUGUGCAGAGACUCCACAUAUUUUCCCACCUUUGCAGCAAGGUGAGCUUUGCAGUGAGGCAGCACAAGCCCUUCUCAGGAAGACCUGUCCUCCUCUAGCUCCAAGAAUCCUUCCUGAGGAGUAGGAGCUGCAGACAGCCCCAUGCCCGUCUGUGCCAUGACACAGGAACUAGUUUCUCAGUCUCCAUGCAUGGUCGUCAGCUCACGACCUGCUCCGUGCUGUCAUAGGCUCCCCGUGUGACUACACAUACUCCCUUGUCCUUCGCAGAUGCUGCUAGGCUCUUACACUGUGCACUGCUACCCCCUGCAUUUGCCAUAAAAGGGAUCAUCCAGGGUGGCAAUACCUGGUACAGGGAAUGUGUUCUCCAUAGAAGCCACUUGGAGAAAAAUCUAUGGGUUGUUGUUUGUACCUUAAUACACCAGCUAGGGCAUUCUACCCUUAUUCAGUAUACCAGUUUAGCCGUGAAUGUAAUCAUUCUGGCUUGUGAACAUGUACUAAUAAAAUUAUAAUAAAUUACAAACAAAAUAAAAAGGGGAAUGAAUUUUUGACAAACAGAUAAAAAUACAGCAGCCAAGUGAAGAAAAAUGUGUAGAGACUUGAGACCCUCUGACUGGCGGGAAAGUGUCCUUCAGGCAGACGCAAGCCUCAUGAGUAACAUGGCAGCUCUCGUGAAGCGAAGACCAUCUUAAUGGCAUUACUGUUGCCCUUCUUGGUAAAAUCGGAAUGCGCAUUUCCAGAGUAGAACUUUGGUCCGUAUACAACACAUGGCAAACUUGCUAUGUGCUGAUUGUCCAAGAUACCCACAGGCAGCUCACCUUCGGAGGAGAUGAGUCAACCCCACAUUCCCAGUACCUGGUGAUGACGGAGUCAUGGAACAACAUGAAACUCAAACUCAGGCAAACCUUCUCAAGGAGUCCUCAUUCUCCCCCUAUCCCGACUUUGUACAUCUUCUCAGGACCCUGCCUAUAUUAGUUUGGAUUCACAACUGAUUGGAUAUUGCAGAAGGAAUGACUAGUGUUCUCUAAUAUACAGCCAAAGAGCUGGACAUGGUGGCACAGACCUAUGAAGGCUGAGUCAAGACGAUGACUAUGAAUUCAGGGCCAGCCUGGGCUACAAGGUGAGUUCAAGGUCAGCCUAAACUAUGUUAUGACACCUUGUUAAACUUAGUUAUAAAAUGGGGAUAAUAAUUGAGUUCUACUCCCAGGAGGCUUUUGAAAACGUUUGUUGGUCUGAUCUUGAAAGGAGCUUCCUAAACUCUUUCCUCCUUGAGCAGUAGAUCCGCGUGUUGUCCUGGUCUACUCAUACGGACCUGAUACCAGGCCCAUGAAAGGGAGGCAUUUCCUACAGAGCUGUAUGCUUUUCAGAUAGUGAAGGGGUAGGUGGAAACUUUCUUUCCAAUGAGGUUCUAAACGUUAAUGUUUGCCGUUUCCUGAGCUACUUUGUGCAGUUGAAACUGAGUUUUUCAAUAUUUCCUGGGCUACCGAUAAUAUUCACUCAGAAAAUACUCAUCUGUCUCCCAUGAUGUGGUCCAGAAGCCGUGGGAGACAUAUAGACCCAGGCAUGACUCUCUGGGAGCUUGUAACAUUACAGAAGGGUGAAUUAUGGAAACAGUGAAAGCUUCCCAAAGGAGAUUUCUGGGUUUGCUCAGUUUUGCUGAAGAUCAUCUUGUUUGUUCACCUGCUCUUUAGUUCUGGCUGAUAGUAC
ensembl:lincRNA